rnacentral:rRNA from 1 species
CCUACGGGAGGCAGCAGUAGGGAAUAUUGGGCAAUGGAGGCAACUCUGACCCAGCCAUGCCGCGUGCAGGAUGAAGGCGUUAUGCGUUGUAAACUGCUUUUAUAUAGGAAGAAAUAGACCUUGCGAGGUAAGUUGACGGUACUAUAUGAAUAAGCACCGGCUAACUCCGUGCCAGCAGCCGCGGUAAUACGGAGGGUGCAAGCGUUGUCCGGAUUUAUUGGGUUUAAAGGGUGCGUAGGCGGUUUAUUAAGUCAGUGGUGAAAGACGGUCGCUCAACGAUUGCAGUGCCAUUGAUACUGGUAGACUUGAGUGUGAUUGAGGUAGCUGGAAUGGAUAGUGUAGCGGUGAAAUGCAUAGAUAUUAUCCAGAACACCAAUUGCGUGGGCAAGUUACUAAGUCACAACUGACGCUGAGGCACGAAAGUGUGGGUAUCAAACAGGAUUAGAUACCCUGGUAGUCCACACUGUAAACGAUGAUAACUAACUGUUGGCUUUUGGGUCAGUGGUACAGAGAAAUCGUUAAGUUAUCCACCUGGGGAGUACGCCGGCAACGGUGAAACGUCAAAUGAAAUUGACCGGNNGAGAGAGCGAGGACGACGACGAGGGAGAGG